GUGAGGAAUAUUGGUCAAUGGACGAGAGUCUGAACCAGCCAAGUCGCGUGAAGGAAGACGGUUCUAUGAAUUGUAAACUUCUUUUGUGCAGGAAUAAAGUGGGUUACGUGUAACCUUUUGUAUGUACUGUACGAAUAAGGAUCGGCUAACUCCGUGCCAGCAGCCGCGGUAAUACGGAGGAUCCGAGCGUUAUCCGGAUUUAUUGGGUUUAAAGGGUGCGUAGGUGGAUUGAUAAGUCAGCGGUGAAAGUUUGCAGCUUAACUGUAAAAUUGCCGUUGGAACUGUCGGUCUUGAGUGCAAAUGAGGUAGGCGGAAUGUGUUGUGUAGCGGUGAAAUGCUUAGAUAUAACACAGAACUCCGAUUGCGAAGGCAGCUUACUGGGAUGCAACUGACACUGAUGCACGAAAGCGUGGGUAUCAAACAGGAUUAGAAACCCCUGUAGUCC
rnacentral:rRNA from 1 species